rnacentral:lncRNA from 1 species
GGGGUAAUGAAGAUGAGUGUUCAAGCCAUGGUAGUCAAGAAGAUGUGGACUCCCCCCUAAAGGAUAAGAAGGUCGAUCGCCAAUAUACCUUAGAGCGCAAGUCCAAGAGCAUGCCCAGUGACAUCCAGAGAGACAUUUAUAUUUUGGGUGAAAAAUCUAAAGACAACGGUGUUGAAGGUGUUCAAUUCCUAUCUGAUCGUGAAGAUGAUGGUGCUGAAAUGGAUGCCCCCCCUAUUUGGGAACCCCCGGAGCCACUAGACCCAGAAGAUGAACUAGAAGAUGCUGCUGAUGGUGAUGACUGUUGUAGAAGGGGAUCAUCUUCUUUAGGGGAAUCUAAAGAUGGCAGUAGUAACCAGAGAAAGUUCAAUGAAGAAAAUAGAAGAGCAAUGCUUGCGGUGGCAAACUCAAAGUUUAACUUCAUUGUGAGUCAGCUUAUUCAGUCGGCUGGGUUUUCAAUGGAAGAAGGUGAAAGUUGGAGUGAGAUAGUUGCUAGGUUAUGCUGGGAGGCUGCUUCACUAUUAAAGCCAGAUAUUGAUGGCAAACCAGUUGAUCCGGCUGAGUACAUCAAAGUGAAAUGCAUAGCAACUGGUUCUUGCAAUGAAAGGUAUUACAAGUUACCCAUUGAUUGCCUAUACGUUGCAUAUGUUUUUUAUUCCAUUUCCCUCUACCGUACUCUCCUAAUGGAUUGUUCAUCUCUGCAGUGAAGUUUUUAAAGGCCUUGUUUUCAAAAAACAUGCUGCUCUUAAACAAAUGCCUACCAAGUAUGAGCAUCCUAGAAUAAUGUUAGUCGAAGGAGUACUGGGCCAGCCAUUAAGUGGCUUUUCUUCUCUCCAGUCAAUGGAUAAGGUGGGGAGCACAGUAACUUGGCGAUCACCAAUUCACCAUUUUGAAAGCUUUCAUUUGGUAAUAUCUGAUUUCUUUUUGUUUGGUUUUUGCCAACAGGACAAAGAUGUUUAUGUGAAGCCUGUUGUUGAUAUCAUAACCGCGUUGAAGCCUGACAUCAUGCUGGUGGAAAAAUCUGUUUCGCGUGAUAUCCAAUUGUCUAUUAAUGAACAAAAGGUCACUCUGGUGCUUGACAUGAAGCUCCACCGUUUACAGCGAAUUUCUCGAUGCAUAGGUUCACCAAUCAUUCCAUUGGAAUCUCUGUCUAGUCAGACGUUAAAGCACUGUGAUUCCUUUCGCAUUGAGAAAAUUGUGGAGGAGCAUAAUGCUGUGGGCGAAGCUGAGAAGAAGCCAACUAAAACGCUGAUGUUCUUAGAAGGUUGUCCUACCCGCCUUGGCUGCACGGUGAGUGCUUGAUUGAUAUUGGAUUAUGAUAAGUCGUUGAUGGUAUCAUUACUUGAGUAACACAUCAAUACAUCAUAUAACUGCCUAGUUUCCACUGGAUAAAACAUCAAAUCUUUCAAAAUUUGAAAUUGUGACAUUCACCUUGGACUUUCUUGCAGUGUACCCCUGAUUAUCUGAUUUUGACAUUGUGGUAUGUGACAGAUUUUACUUAAAGGAAGCCACAGUGAAAGGUUGAAAAAGGUCAAAGAAGUAGUACAAGAUUCAUUUAACCUUGCAUAUCAUCUAAUCUUGGAGGCUUCCUUCCUUGCUGAUCGGCAAACAAUGUUCUCAACCAUCUUUCCAAAGGAAGCUACAUCAUGUGUUAUGGAAACAGAAAAAGUUCCACUAUCUCCUUCUCCUGGAAAAUCUUCACUUGAAGCAAUUGAUAUUCCCUUUUCUAAUGGAUUCGAUGAACGAUCUAUUCAGAUAAAUGGGGAAUCAGAUGGUGAGAAAGCUGAAAACUGGGAUUCUGGUGGAGAUCAUGUCUUCUCUCACGAGCCAUAUAAUCCAGUUAUUUUUACUGGGUUUUCCUCUUUAUCCGCCAAGCUAAGUAAAUAUUUUGGCUUAGUUGAAAAUCCGGAAUCAGUUCCAGUUACUGUGGAUACAGAUUCGAUAAGGGAAUCUGCCGAAGAUGCUACAGAAAAGGAUGAAAGACCUUUGUUACUUGACCCUGGGCUCCCGGUAAACACGAAUUCAGAUGAUGGAGAGAGGUCGCCAACUGAGAAUGAUAUUGAGACCACCUUGGAAUCUCAGAGUAUAUUGGUGUUAGUGUCAAAGAGGAAUGCUUUCAAUGGGAUGAUGUGUGACCAAAGUCAUUUUUCGCACAUAAAGUUUUACAAGCACUUUGAUGUUCGCUUGGAUAGAUUCCUGCGAGAUAUGUUCAUUCAGGUUUUACUCUUGUUCUUUGUCAUUUUCUUUUUUUUUAAAUGCUGUUUUGUUCUUUUGUCAAGGUUAAUCUGUGUUCCUUAUGUUAAUAAGCUUUACAACAUUUAUGGCAAGUUUUUUAAGGCAACUGUUUAUGGUGCAGAGAAGCCAGUGCCGAACGUGCGGUGAAACUCCGGAAGCACAUCUUUACUAUUAUGCUCAUCAAAACAAGCAACUAACAAUCCAAAUCAAGCGAAUUUCUGUGCCAAAAUGUUUGCCUGGUGAGGCAAAAGGAAAAAUCUGGAUGUGGAGUCGUUGUGGAAAGUGUAAGACAAAGAAUGGGACCCGGAAAUCUACCAAACGAGUGCUGAUAUCGACUGCUGCUCGUAGCUUGUCAUUUGGAAAAUUCCUGGAGCUCAGCUUUACUCAGCCAACUUUUCUGAAUAGAUUGUGUAGCUGCGGCCACUCUUUGGACAAGGACUUUCUUCACUUCUUUGGGUAUGUUUUUGCUCUAUUUUGCUCAACCUGGAGCUUCACAUAUUCUAAUCAAGUACUAAAGUAAAGUUUUGAGUUACUCUAUUUAUAUGGGCUUCCGAAAUAUUCGCAUUCACAUAUUCUAGGUUAGUUUAUACCUACUUUUCUUGUUUUAAGGCGUAGUUAGUUCUCUUGAAGGUCCCUUGGUUCUAGUGUUGAGACGUAAAAAACAUGGAUGAUGGUUUGAGAGCCGUUAUUGUCUCUAGUAAUAUAUGAUAAAUCUUACGACAUGUUAACAACCUGCAGGUUAGGCUCCAUGGUUGCUAUGCUCAGUUACUCCCAAGUCACAUCUUACACAGUGUCUCUGCCACCCAUGAUGCUGGAGCCAAGCAUUUUUAUAAAAGUGGGUUGGCUUGAAAAAGAAUUCCAUGGAGUAAGUUUAUUUUCUUCUGCACCUGGUAUAUUCAUAUGCAUUGUGUUAGCAACAAAGAUUAUCUCUUGCUUGGGGCGAGGGCUGGCCUUUAAUUGCACAAUGAUUUUUGCUGAUUGUUUCUGUUUACCUGUUCAGGUAUUCACUAAAGGUAUCUCCUUGUUCGAGGACGCUACUAGUUUUCUGAAGAGACUAAGAUCACAGUUCACAAAUUCAGAUCUCAGCUACCAGUGUGCACUAAAAUUGUUGUCAAACGUCGACGAGUUACUGAAUCACGAGCGCCGCCUAUUUCAGGUUAGCAUUGCAACAAUUGCAUUCAGUAUACAAUAUCUUUGUAGUUCAUGACAGAAGCUUACUAAUACCUUUUCAUCCAUUUCUUGGGCAUUAUUGGCUAAAAAUAGGAAAACAUCAAGAUGUCUUUUGAGAAUGCUAAAACCAUGGAUGAUGUUUCCCACAAACUGCUCCGCUUAAACCGCAUGAGGUGGGAACUUUUGUUCCAAGCUCUCACCUGGAACUACCGAUUGCAGUCACUGGUUUUAUCUAAUCGUUUGCUACCUUCAAGUGGUGAGAAGAAGAUAAAUGAAGGUGUAGAGACCAAUCUUGAGGCUGGAUUGACAAGAUAUGAAAAUAAGGACAAAGUUUCUGAUUCUGGUAGCAAUGAAGGCAUGGACGAACCACUUGUUGAAGACAAGGAAAUUCCAAUUGUGGGUGCAUCUGUUGGGGAGAUGGAAGAAUCUGAAGAUAAUGAAUUGCAAACUCUGUCCAGCCCCGGGCCUGAUACAACCUCUCCCAUCAACGAUCAUUUUUACACUCACUUGGCUGUUAAUAUCCAUUCAGCCAAUGAACAAGAAUUAAUUCCAGAUAGUGGAGAUCCACCGGAUGGGAAGGUUGCUGCCUCUAAUGGGCCACACAUCUUAGGCUGGGAUGAGUGGUUCUGGUUGCCAUUUGAAGAUCUACGAUCAAAGCCUAUUGUCGAUGUGGAGAAGGAAUACUUGUUGAAAUUUGAGUAUGUUAACAGUUUCACCCAAGAUAACCUGCAUGCGGUGAACCAAAUAAUCACUGAGGAAGGUUCUCGUCUGCGGAUCUCAUUGAGGGAUGAAGAUUUUAUCGUGUCAGACUAUGAAGACGAGGUCUCGAGCCUAAUAGCUUGCGCGCUUGCCCAUCUGAGCAAUGCUGAUAACAGAUUGCCUCUUUCAAGGUGCAUUCAUGGAUCACUCGAAGGGUUCCUGGAUAAAGAUCAAGAUUCUAAGCAAACUGUUGACCGUGAGGUUUCUCGUUUCGCGAGUGAGAGUACGAGUCGGUUGGAAAUACCACCUCCAGAGGUCCUUGUUACUUUUGGGUCACUCAAAUCAGUGGGAAAACCCAAAUACUCUAUUGUGUGCCUAUAUGCAGAUGAUUUCCGUGACCUCAGAAAGCGUUGUUGCUCCUCAGAGCUUGACUAUAUUGCUUCGCUUAGCCGUUGUAAGCCAUGGGACGCUAAGGGAGGGAAGAGCAAAUCAGUGUUCGCUAAGACUUUGGAUGAUAGGUUCAUUGUAAAAGAGAUCAAGAAGACAGAGUACGAAUCAUUUGUGACGUUUGCUCCGGAAUAUUUCAAGUACAUGAAGGACUCGUAUGAUCUAGGCAACCAGACUUGUCUAGCCAAAGUUCUUGGGAUCUAUCAGGUAAUAAUGUCUUUAGAAUCAUCUCUUGACCAUUCUACCAUUAGCAUUUUGCCUAAAUCGGUAAAGAAACGGAUAGGACUUUAUUUUGAAGGAGCUUCGAUUGCUAUUUUUACAGGUAACUGUAAGGCAGCCAAAGAGCGGUAAAGAGAUAAGGCACGACCUGAUGGUAAUGGAGAAUCUCAGUUUUGGCAGAAAAAUUACUCGCCAAUACGAUCUCAAAGGCGCUCUACACGCUCGGUUUACGGCUACUUCUGCUAAUGGCGCGGAAGAUGUUCUGUUGGAUCAGAACUUCGUCAACGACAUGAACAAAUCCCCUCUUUACGUUAGCAAGACAUACCAUAUGGUUUGAUGAUUUUGUUUUGCUAGGCGAGUGUUCUGUUGAUGGAAACUCUUAUGAAAGGUAAGGCUGGUACAUACAUGUUGCUAGGAUUUUGAUUAAUCAAAGAUUAUUGAUAUAUACUUUGUUCUGUCUAUGUCAGGGGUAAUGAAGAUGAGUGUUCGAGCCAUGGUAGUCAAGAAGAUGUGGACUCCCCCCUAAAGGAUAAGAAGGUCGAUCGCCAAUAUACCUUAGAGCGCAAGUCCAAGAGCAUGCCCAGUGACAUCCAGAGAGACAUUUAUAUUUUGGGUGAAAAAUCUAAAGACAACGGUGUUGAAAGUGUUCAAUUCCUAUCUGAUCGUGAAGAUGAUGGUG